rnacentral:sRNA from 1 species
AUCUGGCCCAUUUGGUGCCCUAAAGGCCCGACCUGACAAACUAUCUCUUCUCUUCGCCCUCGCCCUGCCGUCGUCCCGCCGUUCUCCCGCCCCGCCUCCGGCCGCCCUCCGCCGCCGCCUCCCUCCCCGGCCCUCCGCCCACCCGCCCGGCGACCGCUGAGCGCAGUCCACAGGCCCCCGCUCCGGUCCCUGUGCUGGUCUCCCGCGUCGCCUGGACAGCAAAGGCGCCGCCGACCGGCCAGGCGGCAGAGCCGAAAGCAAGGGGGAGUCCAUCGGCGGAGGAAGCAGCCACGCCGCGGGAGAACGCGUUUCCAGUGAGAAAAAGGUGGAUGGAUACUCUUCCCCCUUAGCCAAAUGCCUCGAUGUUUUUGAUUCGACUGACAGAGCUCUGUACUUCUCGUCGUAAAAUGAGUUUUACUGGUUUGAUUAGGUGCUAACUUUAACACUUGAUUUCCGCUAUUGUGGAGAUUUAUUUUUUAUCUUUUGACAUGUUGUAACCCCGUCUCCAAAUUCCUGCACUAGUUAUGGCUUGCUUGGCCAUCGAGCGUGUUGGGGACAAUGGAGUGAUUGGUUCUUGCUUAGUGUGGGAGUAAUGGACAAUGUAUAGCAAGAGCUGAGCUGUUUCAAUUUCUGUUGAUUAUCUUCAAAAGUGUAGCGGUGAUAUGUAAAUAGCUUGAACUGGGAAUGCUUUUGAAGAUUCACUUGCCUGUUACUGUCC